ACUGCCUUCUAUGUCCUGCGGAGCUAAUGAGCAAACUAGGAGCAGCUGUGCAGGCAGGUGGUAGUCAGGUGAUGAACAGAGGCUAGGAGAUCACUGAGGAGGCUUAUAGUGGGCAGGUAUGGCAGGGCUGGAUCUGUAAAAUAUUACAAUACAGACACAGAGAGAGAGCAAGUCUGGGGCUGAAGAACAUGCAAGAAAGAGAUGGAGAUACACCAUGUUCCUGCACAAACAGAGCGAUUAGCAACAUCCUGCUUGUGACAAAAAAAAAAACCAAGAUGCUCCUACUUUUGUAAACCACUUGAACUAAUUAUUGUACUGCACAUCUGUACACAUCAGGGGAGGAAUGAAAAUGUCCUGUGAGGAGUCAAGGAUGAAAGCUUUACGAGUACGAUGGAUGGGCCAAAUGUCUGGAGCAGGUAUUCAGCUCGUUGUCAGCGAGGCAGAUGCAUAGUCCCUGAGUGCUGAGCUCAGAGUUGGCUCCCAGCAGGAUGACACAACAGAUACGCAAAUGCUCCACAGAUACACGUUCACAUGGAUGACCAGUAAAUCAGGCAGCAGCCUCUGGAUCACAGCCAGAGGGACUGAGCUGAAUUCUGACUCCUAAUAAUCACCCCAUGGCUGUAUGCUGUUAGACGUAUUUGUGUGUGUGUGUGUGUGUGUGUGUGUGUGUGUAUGUGAUUUGUUUGUGUGUGUGCAUGUGGGAGCAAUAUGUGUUGGUGGGUUUUAAUGCAGUGUUGCGUGAGCAGGUGAACCAUGGGGGGUUUAAGCAACUGUGGCUGUAUGACAGAAUUCCCUCUGGCAACCUUGGAGAGAAGAAAAGGCAGAGAAAGAAGAGGAAAUAGGGAGCGAGAUGCUUGCCUAACUCCAUCUUGUACAUUAAAAGGAUCACAGGGACCUGUGUCUCAGUCUUCUAACCCCAUUUCCUCCUAACGUCUCGUUGCUCUACCUUCAUCCUCUGUCGCUCCUUUCUUCUCCAUCUCUCCCUCUUUUCAUCUGCUCUAAAGGAACCGGACAGGUGAAAACCAAUUCCCCUUAACUCUGCAUUCACUUAGCCUGUCUGCCUGCAUCAGUGGAGAUGAUGAGUCUGUCUGCAUGCAUGCAUUUUAAAAGGUCAGGUGUCAUUAGGCUUUCCCCCUUGAAGUUUCUGUAUAAACCGUGAUGUUUGGUACAAUGAUCUCUGACUCAGUCCCCAAAAAAAGAGAAUCACCAUCAAUAAAACCUUUUUUGCAUCUGUAAAAAUCAACGUCUAGUAAAAAGUUCAGAGCAACCAAAUCCCUCUGCUCCUUUUUUGACCUGUCCACUCUUCCAUAUGGGCCAUGAGGGGGCCGAGGGGAGGUGGGAGAUGUCUUUUCCAUACAGGGAAUCACAGAAGGAGGUGAGAGUACUAAGAUGUUGUGGUGUUCAAACUGAAAAGAAGAUUUGGGGUAUUGAAUAAAGCCAAAACCUUAAGCACAAACCUAGAGGUAAUGUCAGAAAGAGCGAAGAUAAAUUUGUUAAUGUUUCUUGAUCUGCAGGACACGUUGGGGAAAAAUUUGGAUAAGAG